GUCUAUGGCCAUGCUACCCUGAACAUGCCCAAUCCCAUCUGAUCUUGGAAGCUAAGCAGGGUCAGGCCUGGUUAGUACUUGGAUGGGAGACCACCUAGGAAGACCAGGUGCUAUAGGCA
rfam:Pteropus alecto contig67369, whole genome shotgun sequence.